UACGUAGGGUGCAAGCGUUAAUCGGAAUUACUGGGCGUAAAGCGUGCGCAGGCGGUUCUGUAAGUCUGUCGUGAAAUCCCCGGGCUCAACCUGGGAACUGCAUUUGUGACUGCAUGGCUAGAGUGCGGCAGAGGGGGAUGGAAUUCCGCGUGUAGCAGUGAAAUGCGUAGAUAUUGCUCGGAAGGCCAGAGGCGAAGGCGGGUAACUGGCACGCAACUGACACUGAGGCACGAAAAGCGUGGGGGAGCAAAACAGGGAUUAGAAAACCCCUGGUAGU
rnacentral:rRNA from 1 species